GCCAAAUCAAAUGAUUAUGAGCUUACCAAAUUUCUUGCCAGCGAUGAAACUUCUCACAAUUAAUUAAAAAAAAUAUAUAAAAAUCCAUUUUUUUUCAAUAAUUCUAGUUCCACAAAUUUCAGGGGAAUUCUUUGAUUAGUGUGCCUUUUCAUUCCUAUAUUCAAAUGGGUACUGGUUGAUGUUUUGGUUGUUAAGGGAUUGGACCUAAGGAUUGUUGGCUUAAGCUGUCCAACAACUAGAGACUGAGAUUGUUAUUGGCAGUUCCAGAUAUGUACUGGAGUGGGGCUACAGCUACCACAACUCGGGGUGGAUCACCCACUGCUAGUGGGGAUUCUGUUGUGACUUUGGAUCAAGUUCCACGAUGGAAUGAUGCAGAGAGUAGAUCAUCACUUGGUUAUGAUAAUGAUGACCCUUCAUUUUCCAAUUCAUAUUUCCCUGAUCCUUUAACGUCUCCUAAUGAGGGGGAAACUAGUAGUAAUGGGAUGGUAUCAAGGUUUCCUGUUGAUCACGAAAUCAACUCAAAGAUAUAUUUAUGGAGGGGAAAUCCAUGGAAUCUUGAGGUGGAUGCUGUUGUGAAUUCUACAAAUGAGAACAUGGAUGAAGCACAGGACUGUCCUGGUCUGCAUGCAGCAGCUGGACCUGGUCUCGCAGAAGAAUGUGCCACACUGGGUGGAUGUCGUACAGGGAUGGCUAAAGUUACUAAUGCAUAUGACCUCCCUGCUAGGAGAGUUAUACAUACAGUUGGUCCUAAGUAUGCGGUGAAAUAUCAUACUGCUGCGGAGAAUGCUUUGAGUCACUGCUAUCGGUCUUGCCUCGAGCUUCUUAUUGAAAAUGGCCUUCAUAGCAUUGCUAUGGGCUGUAUAUACACAGAGGCUAAAAACUAUCCACGCGAACCAGCUGCACAUGUGGCUAUAAGGACAGUAAGGCGUCUUCUUGAGAAGCAGAAAGAUAAAAUCACAGCAGUUGUCUUUUGUACAACCACAACAACUGAUACUGAAAUAUAUAAGAGAUUGCUACCACUUUACUUUCCUCGAGACAAACAUGAAGAGGAGGUGGCAAUUUUAAAGCUUCCAGCUGAUGUUGGGGAUGAGAAUGGUGAGACAAUAAUAGAUGAACGUAAAAUCAGAAUAAAACCUUUACCCAAGAAAACCGUUAUCAGACCUCCCCAAGUCGAAGUUGACCUUCCUGUUAGUGAUGUUGGCUUGGUACGAAGAAAUUCGUCAUACUUGGAUUCAUAUUUGGAUCCAGCUUUCAUGUCCUUAAUUAAGGAUCCAGAUCAGAGGCGCAAGGAGCAAUGGGAAAAAACUGCUCAAGCCCAGAGUGGAUGGAAUUGUGCUAAAAUGCUUGGAUUUGGUGAUCUUGGUGGUCCUCCACUGUCUAUUGCUGAAGAAUACUCUCUUCACUCUAGAUACCUCACUAAAGCAAAUUCUCUUAAUCUUUCUGAAAUUGCAGAGAUGAAAAUUGUGUAAGCAUAUGCUCCUCUUCUUCCUCAUUUGUAUGCUUGCUUUAGAUCUUGAAAUGUUUUUAUUUCUCAUGAAAUCAACUAAUCGAGGAAUUCUGUUUUUUCCCUUAAUUUAUAAUUUAAUUUUUCCUUGGGGACAGCUGGUAUACAUUAAUUGGUGGCUGUGAAUUGUAUUUUUAAGCCAUAUUGUUUGAACUCUUCUCGCAAUGAUUUUGACCUGCUCAACAAUUAUUUUUGGCUUUAUAACCUUUCUUUGAAUUGCUUAUUUCUUUUAUAAUGCAAAAGUUAUAUAAUUCAUGUGUUGUUGGGCUGCUCCUUGUGUAGUGUGUAGCUGUGUUAGGCGUUCUUUUUGUAUUUCAGUUAUCGUGGUGGGGUAGACAGUGAGGGACGUCCUGUAAUGGUUGUUGUGGGAGCACACUUUUUGCUGCGAUGUCUUGGCCUGGAGCGAUUUGUGCUUUAUGUGGUGAAGGUAAUUAGAUUAUGGUUGCUUCAUUUCCACCUUUUUAAUUAGCCUAUGCUGAUUGAAUUACGCAGCAGUUGGUUGGAUUUAUUGGACAGGGGUAUUGGUGCAGAUUUGUUUUGGAAAAUGCUCACUUCAUCUGUCUUCUGAUGCUCUUCUUUUUAAUAUUGUAUAAUUCUUUUGAUUUUUAGUAUCUUUUAUCAAUAGUGGGUUGUUAGUUUGUACUAAUAAAUAUGUCUCAUUUACUAAAUAUCAGGAAUUUGAGCCCAUAAUACAGAAGCCUUAUACAAUUGUAUAUUUCCACUCUGCAGCAUCUUUACAGCUUCAACCGGACUUGGGGUGGAUGAGAAGAUUGCAACAAAUACUUGGUCGGAAACACCAGCGAAACCUGCAUGCAGUAUAUGUUCUUCAUCCUACUUUUCAUCUGAAGGCUACAAUUUUUGCUCUGCAAUUAUUUGUUGAUAAUGUGACAUGGAAGAAAGUAGUAUAUGCUGAUCGGCUUCUGCAGCUGUUCCGACAUGUUCCUCGUGAGCAAUUGACCAUCCCAGACUUUGUUUUCCAGCAUGAUUUAGAAGUAAAUGGUGGAAAGGGUCUUAUUGUGGACCCUAGAACAAAAUAUGUGUAUCAUCGACCAUAGGAAUCACAUAUACAGUUCCAAUCGGAUGACAAUGCAAGUCCACACGUUGUGGUUAAGUAGGUGUGUGCUACAGUAGUGUACAAAUUGUAUCUGAUUUUUUUUAUUUUUUUUCAAAUUUAUUGCAGUUGCAUUUGCUGUUAAAACGUGCAUUUUUUUAUAUAAUUUGAUUUCUUGAGCCUUGAUUUUGGUUUCUGGAGAUGGAAAUAAUGUUGGUUCUUCUUGUAUUAUCUGAUGUUUCUCAAUUGUACAAGGUGAUAUGACCUUUAACAAAAAAAACCUUCAUGGGAUGUAAAGUACCUUAUUUUUGUUGUUUAGCGAAUCGUUCUC
rnacentral:misc_RNA from 1 species